AGGGUCUAAAGUAUUUUAAAAAGUUGAGUCUCACAACCAUGAGAUCAACCCAUGCACUGCUCUGAGACCUA
rnacentral:snoRNA from 1 species